UGGGGAAUUUUGGACAAUGGGCGAAAGCCUGAUCCAGCAAUGCCGCGUGUGUGAAGAAGGCCUUCGGGUUGUAAAGCACUUUUGUCCGGAAAGAAAUCCUUGGCUCUAAUACAGUCGGGGGAUGACGGUACCGGAAGAAUAAGCACCGGCUAACUACGUGCCAGCAGCCGCGGUAAUACGUAGGGUGCAAGCGUUAAUCGGAAUUACUGGGCGUAAAGCGUGCGCAGGCGGUUUGCUAAGACCGAUGUGAAAUCCCCGGGCUCAACCUGGGAACUGCAUUGGUGACUGGCAGGCUAGAGUAUGGCAGAGGGGGGUAGAAUUCCACGUGUAGCAGUGAAAUGCGUAGAGAUGUGGAGGAAUACCGAUGGCGAAGGCAGCCCCCUGGGCCAAUACUGACGCUCAUGCACGAAAGCGUGGGGAGCAAACAGGAUUAGAUACCCUGGUAGUCCACGCCCUAAACGAUGUCAACUAGUUGUUGGGGAUUCAUUUCCUUAGUACGUA
rnacentral:rRNA from 1 species